AAAUCCAAAGUAAAGAAAAAGGGAAAAGAAAGGGAAAAACGCCUUUCACUUCCAAUGUCUCCUUCAUUCUCCGCUAAUUUCAAAACCCCCCACUUCUUUCUUCUAAACUCUAAAUUCUGAUUCCAAAUUCCCAAUGAACUUGUCUCGCUUUCUGUCUCUCUCUCUCUCAAAUGGUCAAAUCUAAAUCCACCUCCUCCAUUUUCCACCCAAUACGGCCAACGAAUAUGCGGCAACCACCUUCAUCUUUGAGAUACAGAGGAAAUCUGGAAGAGUAGAUAGAUUGAUUGCUAAUUGGUUUUGACGCCUGAAGCUAGGGUUUUAACGCGAGGAAGAUGGACCUCUUCCAUUUAAAUUCUCAGCAGUUGAAGUCGAUUCCCAAUUGCAGUGUUUCUUCCUUGUUGUUGUAUCUCUCUUUGUUGCUCUUCUUCUUUGUCUCUUUCCAAUUCUAAAGACUCGAUCACAUUCUCAAAGGAAUAUGUUUCAGGUCACUUUGCCAAAAGUGAAUAAAUUGGUUUUCACUGGCUGGAUUUGCUUCUCCAUGUAAUUUUUAUCAUCGGUGAACUAAUUUUAGCUUUGAGAGAACUUACCCAACAAUUUUGCUAGCUAUUCUGGUUCAAAAGCAAGGGGAGAUAAUAGGAGUUUACUCUCGUUUUAAAGAGUCCAGCCCAUAUUGCAGAUGGACAAUGGAAUCGCCUGAGAAACUCAAUACAGUCGUUGUCUUGAAACAACGAGAUAGCAGCCGUUGGCAGAAGAUUAAUACAUGCAAUGGCUUCUAGUUGGCUAUAUCCCAAAUAAGCUUAUAAACCCAGGAUGCAGACUGAAGGCUGGACUGGCUGAACUCUGGGAAUCAUUUGCAUCUGUGUCACUAGAAAGUGCUGCCUGCUGCAUUGCAAUGUUCGGUGAACUAGCAGAAUUCGUGUGCAUUCUGGUCGGUAAGCCACCAAGUGAAGUCUGUGGAGGAUCGUUAGAUGAUGAAGCUGUUGGAGACUGGAAAGGAGAAGGAUUGAGUUGCGGUUGUAGCAAGGUACUCAAGGAACACUAGGAGAUGGCAUCUGAACACCAUUUCCUCCGUAAGGACCAUUUGCGCUACUCUUCGGGUUUUUGCUGUCUCGAGUUCAUUGAGUUUUGAUGACGCAGCCCAGUUAUAUAUGGCACUAGUAGAGGAAGUUGUAGGAGCCGAAUUCAGUGGAUUAUUUACAUUUGCCAUGCCAUUUCUGGAAGGAAGUUGCAAUUAUUACGAAAAAUGUUUCAAUGUGGCCUAGCCAUAUUGAAACGUGAUGACUUUUGCAAAAUUGGUUGAAAUUAGGAACUACUUGUGACUUUUAGAAUUAGGUUAUGAUGAUGAAUUUGGAAAUUUGCAGUGAUUGUUUCCAUUUAGAUAGUGAAUUGAAUUACUUACUUGAAAGGGAAAUGUACUACAAGCAUGAAAAAUAAUUCAUAAAAUAUGCAAAAAGUGUAAAUCACUGCAGUGCAUCUGUUUAUUGAAGGAGACUAUUUAAUAUUUGUGACGC